GAGGAGCUGGACUGGAGACGGUUGGCAUCUUCCCAGACAGGGACGGGAAUAGCUUUCGGGCUUUCCUGUUUCCAGACACGUCCGGUCCGGUUAAGGCUAUCCAUUUCUGUCGAUCUCUAACCCAAAUUUUUA